rnacentral:rRNA from 1 species
AGUGAACGCUGGCGGCAGGCCUAACACAUGCAAGUCGAACGGCAGCACAGUAAGAGCUUGCUCUUACGGGUGGCGAGUGGCGGACGGGUGAGGAAUACAUCGGAAUCUACUUUUUCGUGGGGGAUAACGUAGGGAAACUUACGCUAAUACCGCAUACGACCUACGGGUGAAAGCAGGGGAUCUUCGGACCUUGCGCGUUUGAAUGAGCCGAUGUCGGAUUAGCUAGUUGGCGGGGUAAAGGCCCACCAAGGCGACGAUCCGUAGCUGGUCUGAGAGGAUGAUCGGCCACACUGGAACUGAGACACGGUCCAGACUCCUACGGGAGGCAGCAGUGGGGAAUAUUGGACAAUGGGCGCAAGCCUGAUCCAGCCAUACCGCGUGAGUGAAGAAGGCCUUCGGGUUGUAAAGCCCUUUUGUUGGGAAAGAAAAGCAGCAGGUUAAUACCCCGCUGUUCUGACGGUACCCAAAGAAUAAGCACCGGCUAACUUCGUG